rnacentral:tRNA from 1 species
AGAGACUUAGGCUAGCACUUUAGACCAGAGGCCUUCAAAGCCUCCAGCGGGAGUGAAAAUCUCCCAGCCUCUG